AAUUUAUGAUGUCACAUCCGAUCAGUUGCAUGGCUUCUGUCUUUCGGGACUUGCGUCGCCGUCGCUGUCCAAACAUUGCUUACAGAAUCUAAACGAAUGCCCUGCAAAUUUUUUUUUUACUUUUAAAUUAAUUAUAACUUAUUCGAUAUAACUUUCCUGAUUUUAACAGAUAAUUCUAGGUGUUCUGUGAUUCUACGCUAUUCAAUGCCAUUGUCAAUGCUAACUCCAUAGAUAUUCGAAAAUUUAUGCUCCAUAUUAAUUUGGAAUAAUCCACCUAUUUCUCGGCCAAUCCCCCAUCGUGAGUAGGAGCCACACAUGUGAUAGGUAACGACAACGACCGGAUGAUCUGCGAAGCGGUCCGUAUUGCGUGCCCACUUAAAGCACUGAACAUCUCGCGUCUUGGUUUGACUUUCUGGUACAGGAUACUUGCACUCGGCAUAGAGUGAUGAAGCAGAGCGGUGUGCUUUUAUUAAAAGUGCAGAUUUUAGCAGUGUAACAGCAGUUAAUAAAAAAAAAUGUGUGCUGAUAAUAAAGUGUUCCCACCCA